rnacentral:rRNA from 1 species
CGAGCGGUAGAGAGAAGCUUGCUUCUCUUGAGAGCGGCGGACGGGUGAGUAAUGCCUAGGAAUCUGCCUGGUAGUGGGGGAUAACGUUCGGAAACGGACGCUAAUACCGCAUACGUCCUACGGGAGAAAGCAGGGGACCUUCGGGCCUUGCGCUAUCAGAUGAGCCUAGGUCGGAUUAGCUAGUUGGUGAGGUAAUGGCUCACCAAGGCGACGAUCCGUAACUGGUCUGAGAGGAUGAUCAGUCACACUGGAACUGAGACACGGUCCAGACUCCUACGGGAGGCAGCAGUGGGGAAUAUUGGACAAUGGGCGAAAGCCUGAUCCAGCCAUGCCGCGUGUGUGAAGAAGGUCUUCGGAUUGUAAAGCACUUUAAGUUGGGAGGAAGGGCAGUUACCUAAUACGUGAUUGCUUUGACGUUACCGACAGAAUAAGCACCGGCUAACUCUGUGCCAGCAGCCGCGGUAAUACAGAGGGUGCAAGCGUUAAUCGGAAUUACUGGGCGUAAAGCGCGCGUAGGUGGUUUGUUAAGUUGGAUGUGAAAUCCCCGGGCUCAACCUGGGAACUGCAUUCAAAACUGACUGACUAGAGUAUGGUAGAGGGUGGUGGAAUUUCCUGUGUAGCGGUGAAAUGCGUAGAUAUAGGAAGGAACACCAGUGGCGAAGGCGACCACCUGGACUGAUACUGACACUGAGGUGCGAAAGCGUGGGGAGCAAACAGGAUUAGAUACCCUGGUAGUCCACGCCGUAAACGAUGUCAACUAGCCGUUGGGAGCCUUGAGCUCU